rnacentral:antisense_RNA from 1 species
GCGAUGCGGGUGUGUUGGCGCACAUCCGCACCGCGCUAAAUACCUGUAUAUAUCAUCAGUAAAUAUGGGGAAAGUCC